CCUUUACCAUCUCCAAAAACAGGGAGAAGAAGAAAUUAGGAGAAUAUAUAUAUAGUUAUUGGAGGAGUAAACAAAAGCAACGUAAUGGAUAAUGGGCGUAAGCUUUCUCGUCUGCCGUAUUGUGAAGGUCGUCUCUAAAUCAAAGCAACUUCAAUCAUUCUCUUCUUUUUUAUUCUUUCUUCACCACCACUAUCCAUCGACCAUCUUUUUCAACCCUUGAUUCAACUAAAUUUGCCGCACAUUCUGAAUUCCUUACAUUUUCUGAUAAUGACAUCUUCAUGUCUAUCAUCAAACCCUCAAUCAUCGCUUUUUGAAAAUUGCGUUUUUUUGUUUUAGUUCUUCUUUAGUAAUAUACAUUCAGUUAUUAAGAAACCGGAGUAUAUAUAUUGUGCAUGCAUAGAAAUUGUUUAUAUGUUCGUUUAAUUUCUAAAAGAGAUUUGGUCAUUUUAUGUGGCAUAUCUCUUUGGUGGAUCUUAUUAUCUUUGAGGUUUCAAUAUCUCUUUAUCUUUGCUCUAUUUGCUUGUAUUUAAGCUUGCAAGUUUGUUAUCUCUUCUGUUGUAAUUUGAUCCGGAUGUUGUGCA